rnacentral:rRNA from 1 species
GACAGAGGGUGCAAACGUUGUUCGGAAUUACUGGGCGUAAAGCGCGUGUAGGCGGCUAUGCAAGUCGGAUGUGAAAGCCCUGGGCUCAACCUAGGAAGUGCACUCGAAACUGCAGAGCUGGAGUCCUGGAGAGGAAGGCGGAAUUCUCGGUGUAGAGGUGAAAUUCGUAGAUAUCGAGAGGAACACCGGUGGCGAAGGCGGCCUUCUGGACAGUGACUGACGCUGAGACGCGAAAGCGUGGGGAGCAAACAGG